GCCGCCCAAUGUUAUACACCGGGGACAGAGAGUGUGAUAACCUAUCGCUGUGCUCCGAGUCCCUGAGAUAAUACAUACAUAUCGUGCGGUUCCCUAACCCCCUCCCCCGUCGGGAUGUACCAAGUGUGCGCGUCGCUGCUGCUGCACAGGAUGAUAGGACGUUCGCACGGCGCCAGGGGGGGUGCACGGAUCAGGCAGUGAGAGAUUAGCGGCUGUGCGGGGCAUUGCGCUCCCCGUGUGAUCGCCGAAGAGAGCCGGUCAGUGAGCAGCGUGUGUGUGGUGGGCGCUGGCACGGCGUGCGCGGCCUCUAGUUGGGGGCGGCCGCUAGAUCCCCCCCCUGGUACAGCAGCAGUUGGUCUGUUCCGGUCUCUGGCUGCGCGCGGGGAAGCUCCUGUGUUCUGUUCCGGUCGCUCCGUCCCCAUCAAUAACAACAGCAGCAGAAGCAGCGAGGUCUCCGGGUUCCCUUCACCUGCUCCGUCUUCCUCCCAGCGACAUGUCUGUGGCCUUUGCAGCUCCUCGGCAGCGGGGGAAGGGCGAGAUCACCCCUGCCGCCAUACAGAAGAUGUUGGAUGAAAAUAACCAUCUUAUUCAGUGUAUUAUGGAUUAUCAAAAUAAAGGGAAGACAUCUGAAUGUUCUCAGUAUCAACAGAUGUUACACACAAAUCUGGUUUACUUGGCUACCAUAGCAGACUCCAAUCAAAAUAUGCAACCUUUAUUACCAGCACUACCCACACCGACUAUGCCUAUGGGUCCAGCAGGGAUGAAUCCGAGUGGCCCCCCACAACCACCACGUUCACACAACAUGCCUUCUGAAGGAAUGGUAGGAGGGGCCCCAUCUGCACCACACAUGCAAAACCAGAUGAACGGCCAGAUGCCUGGACCAAACCAUAUGCCUAUGCAAGGACCAGGACCUAAUCAGCAUAACAUGACAAAUAGCUCAAUGUCUAUGCCUACCAGUAAUCAUGGUUCCAUGGGAGGAUAUAACCAUUCUGUACCAUCUUCACAAAAUAUUCCAGUACAGAAUCCGAUGACUAUGAAUCAAGGCCAGUCAAUGGGCAACUACGGCCCCAGGCCAAGCAUGAGUAUGCAGCCAAACCAAGGCCCAAUGAUGCACCAGCAGCCUUCUUCACAGCAAUAUAACAUGCCACAGGGUGGUGGCCAGCAUUACCAGGGACAGCAGCCACCUAUUGGAAUGAUGGGCCAAGUUAACCAAGGGAAUCACAUGAUUGGUCAAAGGCAGAUUCCGCCAUACAGACCUCCUCAGCAAGGUCCACCACAACAGUACUCAGGCCAAGAAGACUAUUACGGAGACCAAUACAGUCAUAGCGGUCAAGGUCCUUCUGAAGGCAUUAAUCAACAAUAUUACCCCGAAGGUCAUAAUGAUUACGGUUAUCAGCAACCGUCGUACCCUGAACAAGGCUACGAUAGGCCUUACGAGGAUUCCUCACAACAUUACUACGAAGGAGGAAAUGCACAGUAUAGUCAACAGCAAGAAACCUAUCAGGGGCCGCCGCAGCAGCAAGCCUACCAAACCCAGCAACAGCAGUACCCCACCCAGCAAGGUUAUCCUGGCCAGCAGCAAGGUUAUGGUCCUUCACAAAGUGGUCCAGGUCCUCAGUACCCCAAUUACACUCAGGGACAGGGUCAGCAGUAUGUGGCAUACAGACCUACACAGCCAGGACCUUCACAGCCACAGCAGCAGAGACCUUAUGGAUAUGAUCAGGUAUAGCCUUUUCAUCCAAUGGUUAUGUAAAACCACCAGCAAAAAAACAACCAACCAAAUGGUCAGUAUGGAAACUACCAACAAUAAAAAAAAAUUUAAAAAAACCAUAAAAAAAUUUAAUAAAAUAAAAAUAAACUUUUGGGUUCCUGUAGCCAGUCCUUGUAGCUGUUGUAUUGCUUCCCAGGAACUGUGGACAUCUUCCUUUUGAAGAGUUUAUUAACUUUAUCUUUUACAUUCGGGAAAACAAUGUCAGUUGAUGGCAGCUUCUAAGUUUUCGGUCCACAUGGAUUAAUUAUUGAAGACUGCAGUGAUUCACAUGCCAAGCUAUUUCACGUCAUGUACUCUAGGUGGCGAUGUUGCAUCACACGAUCCAGGAUAUCAGUCUAAUGUAGAACGUAGACCAUACAGACUUCCCAUAAAUGGUUUUGGGGAAAUUUACUUUUUCUAUCACGGUAGGAUUGUUCUGUGGAUUUUGUCACAAGUUAAAGCGAAUCUGUGCGAUUAAGUGGGGAACAGGAUGUUCAAGACAAACUGAAAUGUUGUAGGAUACAUUUAGCUAAUAAAUGUGAGUAAUUAAGGAACACAUUCUAUCCUAUGUUAUGAAUGCUGACAAUAGGAUUUAAAAACAGGAAAAUAAUUGUUACGCUUUCAUUUCUGAUUUUCCUAAAAUGUUGCAGCCUGAAAUGUUUGUGACCUCUUCCUUCCAUUUUAUUUUUAAUCUGGAAAACUGUGUUUGAGUUAUUAAGAAUGCACUGCAUUUAUUUUGCAACAUCUCUGAAUUUCCAGGAAAUAAAUCUGGCUAUAGCACAUCAGGGAUCCGAUCAGUCACAUUUUCAUAUCUAUUGACCAGCACACAGUUUUAUUUAAACAAUAAAGAGCACAAGCUGCAAUACAUCAUAAUUCUCAAUUAUUGAGUAACCAUUAUGCAAUACAGUUGAGCAACAUAAAUAUUUGUUGUAAGUUAAAGGUAUGUCUCUUUCUGUCCCCCCCCCCCCCCAAAAAAAAAGAAUCUUGAGAGAUUUAACGUGUUUAUUAUGCAGCCCAAUAUUUUUCCUGUUUAAAACUUAAUAAAACACACAACACAAAUGAAAUAAACCUAGUACGGGCAGUAUUGUUGUCAUCUGUUUUAUGGGUUUUGUGCCAAACUUGCACCGGUGUUCUAGCAUUGCUAUUUAAAAUGUACUUUACAAAAAUAAAUUAUUUGUGACUUGA